CCGGGUAGGGUCGGACAUGGCGCCGAGUAGUGCGGACGAAAUUGAGGAAAUUAAGGAAAACAGUGGAUGAAACAACAGCCGUGCUGGAAUGAGAACAAUCGCGGUGUCAGUUCUGAUGGUAUGGAGCGGGAGGAUCAAGGACCGAGAAUGGUCGGGAGUGGAAAGACAGAGGAAGAAGAAGAGGUUAUGAUACCGAAAACAUGAAGAGGGCUACGGACAAUAACCCAACACACCUCCAGACUGUGUAAGGGCUAUUUGACCAAGAAGGAGAGUGAUGGAGUGCUGCAUCAGAUGAGCUGGCCUCCACAAUCACCCGACCACAACCCAAUUGAGAUGGUUUGGGAUGAGAUGGACCGCUGAGUGAAGGAAAAGCAGCCAACAAGUGCUCAGCAUAUGUGGGAACUCCUUCAAGACUGUCGGAACAGCAUUCCAGGUCCUCCUCCUCCUCAGUGUUUGUGGUGGUGAGGAUGUGAGAAUGUGGCGAUACCAGAUGAACUCUCAGAGGAUGAGAGUCUCGGUAACACAGGGCUGUGUCCCACACCGCAGCCAGGGAAUGACGCCUUUGGCAGCUGGCUUAGCUCUGCAGGCAGUUUCCUCACCAGAUCUUUCCACUGGUGAAACUGGUGGCCUUAGGAGCCGGUAUGGCUGCUCACAGGGUCUUUUGAACCCAGAUCUGAACACAGCAGAACUGCAUCAGAAGGCCCAAUCACGAAUCGACACCUUUUUUAAAAUUAAAUGUUUUAUACUUUAAUCUUCAUUUAACUAGACAAGUCAGUUUAAGAACAAAUUCUUAUUUACAAUGACGGCCUACCAAAAGGCCUCCUACGGGGACGGGGGUCUGGGAUUAAAAUAAAUAAAGAAAUACUAUAUAAAUAUAGGAUAAAACACACAUCACGACAAGAGACACCACACCACUACAUAAUGGGAGACCUAACAACAUAGCAAGGCAGAAACACAUGACAACAUGGUAGCAACACAAUACAUGGUAGCAACACAACAUGGCAGCAACACAACAUGGAAGCAACAACACAAC